AUUGAACGCUGGCGGUAUGCUUUACACAUGCAAGUCGAACGGUAACAGGUUAAGCUGACGAGUGGCGAACGGGUGAGUAAUGCAUCGGAACGUGCCCGGUCGUGGGGGAUAACGCAGCGAAAGCUGCGCUAAUACCGCAUGCGAUCUGAGGAUGAAAGCGGGGGACCGUAAGGCCUCGCGCGAUCGGAGCGGCCGAUGUCAGAUUAGGUAGUUGGUGGGGUAAAGGCUCACCAAGCCAACGAUCUGUAGCUGGUCUGAGAGGACGACCAGCCCUACUGGGACGGAGACACGGCCCAGACUCCUACGGGAGGCAGCAGUGGGGAAUUUUGGACAAUGGGCGAAAGCCUGAUCCAGCAAUGCCGCGUGCAGGAAGAAGGCCUUCGGGUUGUAAACUGCUUUUGUACGGAGCGAAAAGGUCUCCUCUAAUACAGGGGGCUCAUGACGGUACCGUAAGAAUAAGCACCGGCUAACUACGUGCCAGCCGCCGCAGUAA
rnacentral:rRNA from 1 species